AGCGAACGCUGGCGGCAUGCCUAACACAUGCAAGUCGCACGGUCGGGGGGGUGACCUUCGGCAGUGGCGGACGGGUGAGUAACGCGUAGGGAUCUAUCCUUGGAUGGGGGACAACCGCGGGAAACCGCGGCUAAUACCGCAUGAUGCCUGAGGGCCAAAGCUCGCGAGAGCGUCUGGGGGAGGAGCCUGCGUCCGAUUAGCUAGUUGGUGGGGUAACGGCCCACCAAGGCGUCGAUCGGUAGCUGGUCUGAGAGGAUGAUCAGCCACACUGGGACUGAGACACGGCCCAGACUCCUACGGGAGGCAGCAGGUGGGGAAUAUUGGACAAUGGGCGCAAGCCUGAUCCAGCAAUGCCGCGUGGGUGAAGAAGGUCUUCGGAUUAGUAAAGCCCUUUCGGACGGGGACGAUGAUGA
rnacentral:rRNA from 1 species